rnacentral:rRNA from 1 species
CAGCAGCCGCGGUAAUACGUAGGGUGCGAGCGUUAAUCGGAAUUACUGGGCGUAAAGCGUGCGCAGGCGGUUUGUUAAGAUAGGCGUGAAAUCCCCGGGCUCAACCUGGGAACUGCGUUUAUGACUGGCAGGCUAGAGUAUGGCAGAGGGGGGUGGAAUUCCACGUGUAGCAGUGAAAUGCGUAGAGAUGUGGAGGAACACCGAUGGCGAAGGCAGCCCCCUGGGCCAAUACUGACGCUCAUGCACGAAAGCGUGGGUAGCAAACAGGAUUAGAUACCCUGGUAGUCCACGCCCUAAACGAUGUCAACUAGGUGUUGGGUGGGUAAAACCAUUUAGUACCGGAGCUAACGCGUGAAGUUGACCGCCUGGGGAGUACGGCCGCAAGGUUAAAACUCAAAGGAAGUGACGGGGACCCGCACAAGCGGUGGAUGAUGUGGAGUAAUUCGAUGCAACGCGAAAAACCGUACCGACCGUUGACAUGUCCAGAAGCUCUUAGAGAUUUGAGUGUGCCCGAAAGGGAACUGGAACACAGGUGCUGCAUGGCUGUCGUCAGCUCGUGUCGUGAGAUGUUGGGUUAAGUCCCGCAACGAGCGCAACCCUUGUCGUUAAUUGCCAUCAUUCAGUUGGGCACUUUAACGAGACUGCCGGUGACAAACCGGAGGAAGGUGGGGAUGACGUCAAGUCCUCAUGGCCCUUAUGGGUAGGGCUUCACACGUCAUACAAUGGUCGGUACAAAGGGUUGCCAACCCGCGAGGGGGAGCUAAUCCCAGAAAGCCGAUCGUAGUCCGGAUCGUAGGCUGCAACUCGCCUGCGUGAAGUCGGAAUCGCUAGUAAUCGUGGAUCAGCAUGUCACGGUGAAUACGUUCCCGGGUCUUGUACACACCGCCCGUCACACCAUGGGAGCGGGUUCCGCCAGAAGUAGGUAGCCUAACCGCAAGGAGGGCGCUUACCACGGCGGGGUUCGUGACUGGGGUG